GACGAACGCUGGCGGCGUGCUUAACACAUGCAAGUCGAACGGGAUUUAGUAGACAGAAGCCUCGGCUAAAGAUUACUAAUGAGAGUGGCGAACGGGUGAGUAACGCGUGAGCAACCUGCCUAUGACAGUGGGAUAGCCUCGGGAAACCGGGAUUAAUACCGCAUAAAAUCGUAGAAACACAUGUUUCAACGGUCAAAGAUUUAUCGGUCAUAGAUGGGCUCGCGUCUGAUUAGCUAGUUGGUGAGAUAACAGCCCACCAAGGCGACGAUCAGUAGCCGGUCUGAGAGGAUGAACGGCCACAUUGGAACUGAGACACGGUCCAAACUCCUACGGGAGGCAGCAGUGGGGAAUAUUGCACAAUGGGGAAACCCUGAUGCAGCGACGCCGCGUGAACGAAGAAGGUAUUCGUAUCGUAAAGUUCUGUCCUAUGGGAAGAUAAUGACAGUACCAUAGAAGAAAGCUCCGGCUAAAUACGUG
rnacentral:rRNA from 1 species